rnacentral:rRNA from 1 species
UACGGAGGAUGCGAGCGUUAUCCGGAUUUAUUGGGUUUAAUGGGUGCGUAGGCGGGAUGCCAAGUCAGCGGUAAAAAUGCGGUGCUCAACGCCGUCGAGCCGUUGAAACUGGCAGUCUUGAGUACAGUAGAGGUGGGCGGAAUUCGUGGUGUAGCGGUGAAAUGCUUAGAUAUCACGAAGAACUCCGAUUGCGAAGGCAGCUCACUGGACUGCAACUGACACUGAGGCUCGAAAGUGUGGGUAUCAAACAGG